CAAUUCUCUGAUCACAAUGCAUUUUAUAUCUGUGUCAGAAUACACAAACAGACAGAUGAUUUUAUGACAUGUAGGAACUCAAGUUACAGGUCUUUACCAUACUGUGUAUUUUAUUAGUACCUGUGUGUCCACACAUUCUUGCAGCCUAACCUUAUGCAGAGCCUGUGCCCCAAACAGCAGCAUUCAUAACUUUGCACUCAGGACUCAGAGCUACCAAGUCCUGCAGCCAAAUCCUUACGCAGAGGUAACAUUUCUGGAAGAUUGUGGCU